rnacentral:lncRNA from 1 species
UAACUAGCAAAAAUGCCCGCGCGUUGCUGCGGGACUUGAAUGCACCAGCCUUAACCACAUGAAUAAGACAUUUAAUCUGCAAAAAAAUUCAUCAUAAUCAGGAACAAACAAAAGGGAUAGAUGAGUGAAAGAUGUUGGUAAGAUGAGAGUUGAAUCAAAGGAAUCAGUAGUGUAAAACUGACAAAAUGCUUACAAAUUCAACUCCAAUUAUGCUGAUGUAGCUAUCCAAGUAUGAAUUAUCCUAUUCAACAAUUCUGAAGCUCAGACAAAAAUUGCAUGAGAAAUAUUGAGAUUAUAUGCAAUUGUAUGUCAAAUAAUCUGAAAAAUACCAUAUAUCCAAUUUAAGUGCAUACACCUAUAAACUAAUCUUCAUAUAUACUUUAAAAUAAUACAGAUCAAUGUAAUCUAAAACAUUGGAAACAUUAUCAUACAAUUAAAGAAUCACGAUGCAGAAAAUGUUCUUUCCAUUAUUUUCAAAUAACUUUUCACCCCACAACACUGAGACAGAGAGCAUACCCAUACCAAUGGAGGAAGGGAAACACAAAAUACACUACUUGAUCGCUUGUGGCUUAUAGCUAUUAUUGCUCAACCUGUCUUUAUCUUCGUGUAUCUCUCUGAUUGAAAUAUUAUUCAUAUAAAAUUUCAUUACAGUAUAAAGUAUAUUUAUGUAUAACAUAAUAACCUUCUAAAAGCAAUAUCUUAUAAAAACAUUCCAUCAAUCUAAGAAAACUGAUGACAAUCGUAAGCUAAACAAUGAAAUACCAAAUAAAACUAUAAGCAGCAGUAAUCUUCAAAUCCGAACCUCAAAUUCAAACUUUUCUUGUAAUUCAAAAAUUAAAAAAAGGAGGAAAUGAAAUAUUAAAAAAAAAUAAAAAUCAUAAACCUGCUUUGGAGUUUGCGGGAGGUUUGGAGUAGUGAUCUGGAACGACAUCGGUGCAGUUUUCGUAGAAGCAGAAUCGCUGGCUUCCACGAUCAUCAAGCAGAAUCGUACCAUUUUAAUCUAGAAGUAUAAAAUAAAAAACCCUACACUCAUCAAAGUAAACUAACGGCAUGGGAAGAAAUAGUAAGAGAAUUCUACCAAAAACCAACUAAAUACCAGCUCAAGAAUGAAUCGAAAGCAUAUAUCUUAUUUCAUAGGUUUAUGACAAUUUAGGGUCAAUAAUCUUUGCACCUAAUUAGCUCCAUAUGGGCUCCAGAUACAAAUCUAAUCCAUAUAUGUGAUAUUAUACCUGGUCUAAAGAACACAGAGAGCCCAAAAUCUAUUGUCUUAAGUGGUGCAUCCUCUUUCUGGUUGACAAAUAGAAAAUUCUCUGGCUUUAAGUCCCAAUGCAUGACACCCAAAGAAUGGCAUGCUUCGAGGACACCAGUGAUAACCCAUGCAAGCUUUAGCUGCCUUUCUCUAUGUAAUGCCCAGACCACUUGAAAGGAGUCAUUUGUAAGUCCCAUGCCUACGCUUUGUAAUGAUGCAAUUUUUUUAAUUUUUUAUUUGAAUUUUGUUAAAUUAAGUAAUUUCGGGGAGGCCUACGCUUUCAAACUAUAAUCGACAACCGACAUAAAUAAUUUGCACAGAAAGAUGAACUAAAAAGGCGGCAAGAAUGAAAUCACACCCUUAAAUGCACCAAUGCAAAUAAACACAUUUUACCAGAAUAAAUCCAACAAAAUCACAAAUCAACAAAGGCAUCUCUUAAGAAUUUAAAUAACCAAGAUUUGGAUGAACUGAUUGUGAGUAUUUGUGCAUAGAUGUGUAACUAUUUACAUAAAACAUGUGAAGGACAAUCAGUUUAGAAUUUCAAAAUAUAAAAUAUUACAAUUUCCAUAAAAGAUCAAGUAUUGGGAAACAAAAUUGGCAUCUCACCUUCCACAAUAGGUCGACAAAUGCUUUGAUUACGCUUUAGCUUCUUGUCUACCUGAAAACACAAAUUCACUAUUUAGAAUAUCAUAAUUUCAUGAAAUGGUUCACCCUUGAAUCAAGAAGAACUCCUUUGUUUUAUGUAUGGUACCGAUAAUCAACUCAUAAUAUUGGAUCUCAAUUUAUUUCAAACUUUUAUGCAUUUUUGACUAUUCUAGGAUCCAUUUAGGCAAUCUCUUAGACCAUUAGUUUGUUCCCUUUGACUAAAAUAAAAAACAGCACAUCCGCUUGCUGCUUAGUGACUUGAUAAGUCAGUCACAAAGAUAACAUGUAGAAUGCAAAUAUGGAUCACGAAAAACAACAGCUAUAGAAUUGAUUAUAUAGAAGAAGAAUACAAACUUAUUGUGAGGUUAUCCCAGCUAUCCACUAUGACCCAGUAUAUAUAGCAAGUAAAAACUACAAAAGCAAAGAUCUCAUUCAAUGACAGUUUGUUUCUUAUCCAGAAAAAUAAAAUGAACAGGUUAAUGACACUCUCAAAGUUGGUUUAUGUUCAAAUUAGUGAAUUACCAUAAUCUUUGCUGGUUGGUUUUCAAUCUGUAUCUUAAUUAGUAAACAACCAAUCCAAUGCCAACUUCUUUUUAAGAAUUAAAAUGACACUAUUUUUGUCCCUCAUGGAGUUUGAUAAAUUUGCUCGAUCGUUUAUACGUGUUUCUCCUGGGAGUUCUUAAAUCAUCGUUCUACUACUCAACAGACAUCAAUCUGAAACAUAUGGCUUGUUCAGGUACGCUCUCUUGUUUGAAAUUUGUCUCUCUUUUUAUGCUGUUUGGUAUGGUUAGUUAGUUUUCCCAUAUCCUUAGAUCUCUCAGUCCAAGUUCAAUUCAAUAUUGAUUAUUUGCUACAAUAUCUUCUCCUAUUGUUGCGAGAGAAUUCAUAUCAAGAUUAACUUCAUUAUUUAAUUCGAAUGGAAUCCAAAAGCGGUAUAAAUAUGAAGGAUAAAAAAGUAAUAACAAAAGUCACAUUUCAGCAGCAAUUAAUAGCAGAAAUCAGAAAUAAUUUCAGUAAAAUAGAAAGCAAAGAUUAGAACUCAACCCACUUCUACAUUAGUAAGAAUAAGAAUGAUUAAGCUUAAUCUAGAGAGAGAAACACAAAGAUCAAAACAUCAGGCAUUUAUUUUUGAAAUACAGAGAUCAAAAUUUUAGGCAUUUAUUUCUGAAACAAAAUAAAUGAACAAAACCAUCAACAUCAAGGAUGAUUACAAUUGAUGGGUGCAAUAUGGAAUAUAAGUUUCUGGAGAGAGAAACAACCAAACUUUACACUGGAUCAUAUUUUUUAGAGAAAGAGAGAGUUGGAAGUACUUUUCAACAGCAGAGGUCAAUCUUGGGCAUAAAAAGAAAACAUAGAAGCUUCACAGCACAAUAAUUAACCACAAUCCUCUGUUUUUCUAAGUGCAAAUAGAAAAACAGAAACAAAGUAUUGAACACAAAAUCUUCACAUUAGCCCAAGAAUUAUAUUGUUUCUAGAGCUUUCCAAAUUGCCAGCACGGAACGACAAACAUAAAAGCACUAAAAUAUAUAAUUGGAAAUAUAAAAAUAACAAUUCCAAGAAACUAAAUGGGAAGUUGGGCAGAUCUGCAAAGUAACACAAACUCAUUACUCAAAAUUAAGAGCAUUGUGGCUCACCCUGAAAGCACCUCUUUUCCGAUAAGGGAGAGAAAGGCCGUUGUUCUGGCUACUGAGUGCUGCUGGCUCCAAAGCAGUUUAUGUUCCAGAACUUUAUAAGAGCAAGUCACCCAUUCAAAACCACCAUAAAUCGCGAGUUUACAUCAUUUUGCUACCAAAAAAAAAAAGCAAACAAAAAAAAGGAAAAAAAUAGAAAGUAUAAGAUUCAAACAUGUUUACAAUUACAAACACUUUACAAUGCGUGUAAAAAUUAAACGUUCUCAAGCACCCAUGUCUCCAAUUCGAGGCUAAAACCCAAUUCCACAAAAGAAAUCAACAAUUUUGAUCAAAACAGAAAAGCCAACAGACUCAAAAGGCCAGAAUACAAUUAUACAUAUCCUUAGCUGCUAUGGAAAUCAACAGUUCCAUAUAAGUAUACAAAAGAUUUUCUUACACCUAAUUUCGCAGCUUAGAGAGCAAUAGUUAUACUAAAACAACAAUUAAUUGAAACGAUUGAAGGGGAAAAAAGCAAAAGUGGAAAAAAAGAACUCAACAAAGAUUGUGUUCCCAAUCUAAAUACAUUAUAUACUCCAGCACAAAAUAAAACCCAGGUGUCCUUUAGCACCGAAGCUCUGUUCAUGUGGAUUUUGGGAAAAAAAAACCGUUGAAAACUUAACAAUCCAGAUUAGGGGAAACAAUUACGGAAAAUUAACAACAACUAAACAAAUUAAAGAACUGAAAACCCACAAAAAAAACCCAAAAAAAAAAAAACCAACUGACCUUAAAACAAAGAACAUACUGAACAGAAAGGGAAUCCCCAAAAUUAGAGAAAAUGAAACAAAUAAGGGAAUAAAGAGAGAGAUGAAUCCGCCAAAACCGGACCUAAUGUACUAAAAAAUUUGAAAAUCCAAUCUAACAUUAAAGAAUCCAAUUUAAAAAAUGAACUUAUCUUAGGAAAUGAUCACAAAAUCCGGCACACAUCAUCCUCAGUAGCCUCUGCUCAUGACCCCUACCCCUCUCCCUGAAAUCCUGAAUACCCCAUAUGGUUCUCUCUCUCCCUCUCUCUCUCUCUCUCUCUCCCUCUCCCCAAAAUGGGAAGUGGAAAGUUUGGUCAUGCAAGACUUAAGACAUUAAUUAUUUAAAGGACCUAAUGGAUGGCAGAAAAUGGUUGGGGGAGACGGGUUAGGAUAGUAGGAAAUGGACCAGUUUUUUUAAUUCCUUGAGUCCAUAAUUUUGUAAGUGGUUUGCCAACUCCUUAAUUUAAUAAAAUUAGUUUAGGACUUUGUGAGCAUGGGCGCUGCAUGUUUACAACAAAACAAUUUUAAAGUUGAAAAACCUAACCCACUUAUGUAAUGUAUUAAACCUUAAAGACAGCUCAACCUCUAAUAAUAAUCUUAUUAAAUUAAACCAUAACCAAAAUAAAUAAUGCAGACACAAAAGCACAACUAUUGUCACACGAAGGAAUUCACGAUUAAUACAAUGUAUAUCUGUCGAUAAAAAGAUCUGUAGUAGCAAGCAAUUCAUCACACUAUAUAAUCUGUCAUAUCUACCGUGCACUGUACUGCUUGGUCUGAAGUAGAGAAAAGAAACUAAGUAUAUCGUAUAAAACCUUAGGGCAAACAAAUAACUAUAGAAGACAACGCAUCUAAUUGCAAAUCACAUGUACAUCAAGGUUAUGAUCAUCCAUGUCUAGGUUUAAGACAAUUUUAAGUAAAAUUGCCACUAUAUAUACACGGAGGGUGUCAAAGGAAUUAUAUACUUUAAUUAGUAAAAUCAACGGCAUAUAAAAUCCAAAAAGGGAAUUCAAAUUGGAACAGACGGAAAAUAGAUAAAAGAUUUACCAGAAGCAAAACAAUCACACAGUAUUAUCUCCACAAUGAAGAAAUUGUAUCGCCAAAAUGGAGAUACAUAAGUCUCAGACGGUUUAUAGAUGAAGGGAGAUAGCAAAAAUAAAAAGCGUAAUCAGACAGAUGAACAAUGAAAAUUAAACAUACCAGGUGAGCAAUACCAGACAUUUCCUGCCUUCAAGCAAUCGGUUAUUGUCUCCAUGUUCAACUAAACCUCUAUAGAAAA